AAGUGAUUGGACAACCAUUGGUCUGAAAGGGUAUAGGGUUUGGCUCCUGAGCAAGGGGUUGGACUAGAAGACCUUUAAAGUCCUUUCCAACUCUGUUAUUCUCUUCUGUCUUGCCCUCAAAGGGGAAAGCGAUGUGUCCCCAUUCAGGGACCAAACAUAUCUGACUGGCAGCGGGUGGGAUUGCACGGCUGGCUGAUUGCUUUUACAGGUGGUCCUCGACUUAACGACCCCAAUUGGGAGCAGGAUUUCCGGUUGUUAUGCGAGUCGUGCAAAAUUUGUCUUUUUUUUUUGGUCCACGGUUGUUAAGAGAAGCACUGCCGCCGUUAAGUGAAAUCGCGUGGUCGUUAAGCGAAUCCAUCUCGCCCCCCCAUACCCCCAUUGGCUCUGCUCGUCACAAAGAGGGAUUGUGUGACCCCAGGAUGCUGCAACUGUUGUAAAUAACAUGGCUGUUGCCUAAAUUUUGAUCGGGGGGGGGGGGAAUGCUGCAACGGUCAUAAGUGUGAGGACCUGGCCGUAAGUGGGGUUUUUUGUGUGUGUGUGUGC